AUACGGAGGAUCCGAGCGUUAUCCGGAUUUAUUGGGUUUAAAGGGUGCGCAGGCGGCCAUUUAAGUCAGCGGUUAAAUCGUGGGGCUCAACCCCAUUCUGCCGUUGAUACUGGGUGGCUUGAUUGCGGUCGAGGUUGGCGGAAUUCGUUGUGUAGCGGUGAAAUGCAUGGAAAUGACGAAGAACACCGAUUGCGUAGGCAGCUGACCAGACCGCAAAUGACGCUCAUGCACGAAAGUGCGGGGAUCGAACAGGAUUAGAUACCCUGGUAGUCCGCACAGUAAACGAUGAAUACUUGUUUUCGGCGAUAUAAUGUCGGAGGCAAAGCGAAAGCGAUAAGUAUUCCACCUGGGGAGUACGCCGGCAACGGUGAAACUCAAAGGAAUUGACGGG
rnacentral:rRNA from 1 species